GGUGGUGCAUGGUUGUCGUCAGCUCGUGUCGUGAGAUGUUGGGUUAAGUCCCGCAACGAGCGCAACCCUUAUUACUAGUUGCCAGCAUUAAGUUGGGCACUCUAGUGAGACUGCCGGUGACAAACCGGAGGAAGGUGGGGAUGACGUCAAAUCAUCAUGCCCCUUAUGAUUUGGGCUACACACGUGCUACAAUGGAUAAUACAAAGGGCAGCGAAUCCGCGAGGCCAAGCAAAUCCCAUAAAAUUAUUCUCAGUUCGGAUUGUAGUCUGCAACUCGACUACAUGAAGCUGGAAUCGCUAGUAAUCGUAGAUCAGCAUGCUACGGUGAAUACGUUCCCGGGUCUUGUACACAC
rnacentral:rRNA from 1 species